UCUCCGUAGGUGAACCUGCGGAAGGAUCAUUAUCGGAUUUUGAAACUUCAGGCUGCUGCUGGCUCUCCUCGGAGGGCAUGUGCACGCUUGUUGUCCAUUAUUUCUCCCACUGUGCACAAAUUGUAGACCUUUCAGUAGGCCUAUGUUGUUUUUCACAAUCUCUGAAUGUAAUAGAAUGGUUUUGAAUCUUGGGAAAUACAAUACAACUUUCAGCAACGGAUCUCUUGGCUCUC
rnacentral:misc_RNA from 1 species